UAGAAGAAAUAAUAAUUAAUAUUUAUCCAAUGUUCCGCUACCCCACAUAUACAAUAUUAAUAUUAUAAAUAUGUGUACAAGGUUUCGGUAUAUUGUUUAGAUCCGUUAAAUUUUCGGUGUUUUUUUCUAAAUUUAAUUAAUCAGUGCUCUGUUACGAGGUCUUCAAAAAAUGGCCGCUUCUAAGCCUAUUUCCUGAUUGUUUUUAAAAAAAACAUCCUUAAUUUCACUCAACAAUAAUUUUGGAACCUUAACUCUUGUUCUGGGCUGUUUCCCUUUAGACAUACAACCUUAUCGCACUAUGUCCGAUUAUUCAACAUUCAUCUUUGCCAUUCCGAGUGCAAAUACUCUCCGGUAAAGUCACUACAACCCCCCGAUGUUGACAAAAUCAAAAGAUAUUGUCCGAGAUCACAGUUCUGUACCUGCUAAGAUGUUAGUUAAAUUACCUACUCAUAUAGGUUUCGCGGAAAACCAGCUAUACUAGUCAGUUUUGUCUUUCACUAACUUACCACAAUUCUUCGGAUAUCUAUACAACGAUAACCCGUUCGGACUUUUAUAAUCCUGACCAUGGUAAGAUCACUAGCCUUCGGGUCUAAUUCUAGAUACUUAUUCAUUUUCUCAUAAUUGGUUUAUCUAAGCUAGUUCCAUGCGCAAAGCGCACGAAAUCAUUGCUUGCAUCUAAAAUUAACUUGCUGACCCAUUAUGCAAAAGGUACACUCUUAUUACUUAUUUAAAUUUUCACUCGAGCUGCUUAUAAAACUACUAUUUCAAAUUUUACCUCACGGUACUUUUCACUAUCGCUUAUAUAUCAUAUUUAGCCUUAGAGGAAGGUUCCCCUAUAUUCAAACAGAUUUUAAUCCAUUUUACUUUAACAAGUUUUGUUAAUAGGCUCUUGUUAUUUAGUUUGCACCAAAUAACAAUCUCGUUUGAUUUCUUUUCCUAAAGUUACUAAGAUAUUUCAAUUCACUUCGUUUAUUAUUCGAUUUCUCUUAGAAACUAGAUUUACUAGUUAUUCUUUAAUAUAUAGCUAAUUAUCCAUAAUAAUUUC
rnacentral:rRNA from 1 species